GAUGAACGCUGGCGGCGUGCCUAAUACAUGCAAGUCGAGCGAACGGACGAGAAGCUUGCUUCUCUGACGUUAGCGGCGGACGGGUGAGUAACACGUGGAUAACCCACCUAUAAGACUGUGAUAACUUCGGGAAACCGGAGCUAAUACCGGCUGAUAUUUUAAACCGCAUGGUUCAAAAGUGAAAGACGGUCUUGCUGUCACUUAUAGAUGGAUCCGCGCUGCAUUAGCUAGUUGGUAAGGUAAAGGCUUACCAAGGCAACGAUGCAUAGCCGACCUGAGAGGGUGAUCGGCCACACUGGAACUGAGACACGGUCCAGACUCCUACGGGAGGCAGCAGUAGGGAAUCUUCCGCAAUGGGCGAAAGCCUGACGGAGCAACGCCGCGUGAGUGAUGAAGGUCUUCGGAUCGUAAAACUCUGUUAUUAGGGAAGAACAUAUGUGUAAGUAACUGUGCACAUCUUGACGGUACCUAAUCAGAAAGCCACGGCUAACUACGUG
rnacentral:rRNA from 1 species